rnacentral:lncRNA from 1 species
GGAACUCUACGAAAGCUAUGCCUAAAUUAAGAUAAUGGAACUGCCUUAGUUGAUCCCAGGUCAUUUGACUCUUUGACUGCCAAUUAGAAGUGACAGCUUAUGAAAUUACUUACAAAAAGAAGAUGAAACAAUGAUGAUGAAGAAAAAGAAGAAAAGGAAAAGAUGGCAACAAAGAAGGAGAAACAGAACCGGAAAAGGAAGAAGA